AUUGAACGCUGGCGGCAUGCUUUACACAUGCAAGUCGAACGGCAGCGGGGGCUUCGGCCUGCCGGCGAGUGGCGAACGGGUGAGUAAUGCAUCGGAACGUGCCCAUGUCGUGGGGGAUAACGUAUCGAAAGGUACGCUAAUACCGCAUACGCCCUGAGGGGGAAAGCGGGGGAUUCUUCGGAACCUCGCGCGAUUGGAGCGGCCGAUGUCGGAUUAGCUAGUAGGUUGGGUAAAGGCGCACCUAGGCGACGAUCCGUAGCGGGUCUGAGAGGAUGAUCCGCCACACUGGGACUGAGACACGGCCCAGACUCCUACGGGAGGCAGCAGUGGGGAAUUUUGGACAAUGGGCGCAAGCCUGAUCCAGCCAUGCCGCGUGAGUGAAGAAGGCCUUCGGGUUGUAAAGCUCUUUCGGCCGGGAAGAAAUCGUGUUCUCUAACAUAGGACAUGGAUGACGGUACCGGACUAAGAAGCACCGGCUAACUACGUGCCAGCAGCCGCCGUAACAC
rnacentral:rRNA from 1 species